GACGUAGUCGACACGCCGCUGACCAUCCUGGAAGUAGAGGCCGUGCUGGCAGUGGGUGUUUUCCUCUGGGGUUAGAGCCUUCAGUAGCUGACAACACAUGGGGACACACAGAGAGGGCAAGAAGCACCUGGAAGCCUCCUUACAAAUCCUGAUUUUUAUGCCUUUAACCGAGAGCUGACAGUAGAGGGAUGACAAGUGAAAGACAUGAAGAAUGACAUCCCUCAAAGGUGCCCAGCCGGAUUCAAACCAGGGAUGUUGCCAUUCAGUACCUUACACCCC